rnacentral:sRNA from 1 species
UACAAAAGAAACUGAUGUUCGUUACAUG